ensembl:lncRNA
CGGGGCGGCGGGGGCUGCGGGCAGUCGGGGGGCGUGCAGCGAGCCUAAGGUCUGAGAGCCUCUUAGGACAGGAGGAAACGGCCUCGAGUUGUGCCAGGGGAGAUCCAAUGGAAAGAGCAAACAACAGCGUGGCACAGACUGUGAAAGCAUGGUGCCAGAAAGAAGUGAGCUGAACUGGGUUGCUGCAGCACCAGAGGGGCUGCUGAGUGAGACCUCCAUUAGGAGAUCGGCGGCAUCAAUGUCUGGUCAGCCUUUGUGUCAGCAUUGUAGGGACCGCUUCAUUCAGUUUAUUGAGAGUUCUUACCAGAAACCACCUUUUGUGAAUGAGUAAAGCACGCACAUGGAGCAGCUGCAGAUUCCAACCCAAGCAUCAGUACCCUCCAGUAAUUUCUUUUAUCCUGAAGGAGAACUGUUGCCUUCUGCCAGUGAGGUUCCCGGAGUUCAGCUACAUUGUCUCCAGUUGUCUACACAGUGUCUGCCCACUAUUUCUCUGUAUCCAGCCUCACUGAGCAUCAUGCGGAACUCGGGUUUGAACUCCUGCUUAAUGUUUAACUUGUAACGCUUCGUGGCGGCACUCAGCGGAAAGCUGGCAGUGGUGUGAGCCAGCAGCGAGCUGCGAGCUGUGCCAUCUGCUGUGUGGUGGCUGCAACUGCCUCUGUGUGCAGCGUGAACUGCUCCGGAGGUAAGAGCCGAUUCACGAGCGUUACCACCUCCUGCGUUCAGAAUGAGUUAUUUACACAGCGGUAGGCUUGGACAUUUCUGUGUAAUACACGUGUCUGUGUGGUGUCUCCGGACAGAAUGAAGAUGACAUUUUGUUUUGUGCAGAAGUUCAGACUUAAGACCAAAAAUAAAG